rnacentral:rRNA from 1 species
UACGGGGGGAGCAAGCGUUGUUCGGAUUUACUGGGCGUAAAGGGCGCGUAGGCGGCCUCUGCAAGUCGACUGUGAAAUCUCCGGGCUUAACCCGGAAAGGUCAGCCGAUACUGCAGGGCUAGAGUGCAGAAGGGGCAACUGGAAUUCUCGGUGUAGCGGUGAAAUGCGUAGAUAUCGAGAGGAACACCUGCGGCGAAGGCGGGUUGCUGGGCUGACACUGACGCUGAGGCGCGAAAGCCAGGGGAGCAAACGGG